CGUGCAGGCGGUUUGGUAAGUUGGAUGUGAAAGCUCCCGGCUCAACUGGGAGAGGUCGUUCAAUACUGCCGAACUUGAGGACGGUAGAGGAAGGUGGAAUUCCCGGUGUAGUGGUGAAAUGCGUAGAUAUCGGGAGGAACACCAGUGGCGAAGGCGGCCUUCUGGACCGUUCCUGACGCUCAGACGCGAAAGCUAGGGUAGCAAACG
rnacentral:rRNA from 1 species